rnacentral:lncRNA from 1 species
GACUAUUCUCGUCAGUGCAAAACGCAAAUAGUCAUUGGCUUCAUUGUAUCCUCGAGGUUAAUUUGCUUGGAACUCGUUUGCACACUGAAGAUAAGUGGGGGCGAAUAUAACCUUAAAGAUAGUGGCUUGAUACACGCCUUGGAGCCUGUCCUAUUUCUUCUUUUUCUUUUCGAGUUUCGAUCGUGUGUUCGAGUUUUUUCCUUACCGGAGUUUUGUACUAACAAUUUUAAGGUUAUAUUUCAUGAUGACUACCACAACACAUGAAAGUGGAACACUAAGGGAGUUGGCUUCCAACUUUGUUAAACUUGAUCGUUUUGAUGGUGGCAAUUUUCGACGAUGGCAGAAAAAGAUGCACUUUUUGUUAUCAACUUUGAAGAUUGCUUAUGUUUUGGAUACUCCAAGACCUGAAGAGAAUGAAAAUGAAUCAGUUGCUGCAACCCGAGAAAGACAAAAAUGGGACAAUGCUGAUUACAUGUGCAUGGGCCACAUAUUGAAUGGUUUAUCUGAUGGUUUGUUCGACACCUACCAAAACGACGUCACCGCUAAAGAAUUAUGGGACAAAUUGGAGGCAAGAUACAUGACCGAAGAUGUUACAAGUAAGAAAUUUCUUGUCACUCGUUUCAAUAAUUAUCAAAUGGUUGAUGGUCGUUCUGUUAUGGAACAAUUUCGUGAUAUUGAAAAGAUGCUGAAUCAAUUUAAGCAAUAUGAUAUGAAAAUGGAUGAAAUGAUUGUGGUAUCCUCCAUAAUAGACAAACUUCCUCCAUCUUGGAAAGACUUUAAAAGAAGUCUAAAACAUAAGAAAGAGGAAAUAUCUCUUGAGGCUUUGGCAAAUCAUCUUCGUAUUGAAGAAGAGUAUCGAAAACAAGAUCAGAACCUAAAUUCUGAAAAUGCCAAAGUACAUGUUACAGAGGAAGUACAGACUACUAAACCAUUCAAGAGAAAGUUCAAUCAGACUGAUAGAGCACCUAAGUUCAAAAAGAAAUAAAAGGGCUCAUGCUAUCAUUGUGGAAAGCCGGGACAUUUCAAGAAUGAAUGUCGAUUUUUAAAGAAGAAAUCAUCUUCUAAGGCUGAUAAUAACAAAAAGUUCGUUGCAAUGAUAUCUGAAAUUAAUAUGGCACAAGAUGAUAAUACAUGGUGGAUUGAUACCGGAGCAACCAAACAUGUGUGCAAAGACAAAAGCAUGUUCACAAAGUUCACACAAUGUGAAAAUGACAAUGUCUUAUACAUGGGAAAUUCUUCCACCGCAACAAUUAAAGGCAAAGGGUCUGUUGAACUACAAUUCACUUCUGGAAAGGUUUUAACCUUAAAUGAUGUAUAUUAUGUACCAGAAGUUAGGAAAAAUUUAGUGUCUGGAAGUCUGUUGAAUAAGUUUGGUUUCAAACUUGUUUUUGAGGCAGAUAAGUUUAUUUUGUCUAAGGGAGGAAUUUUUGUGGGAAAAGGGUAUAUGUAUGAAAGCAUGUUCAAACUUAAUAUUAUUAAUAAGAAUAAAAAUACUAUUUCUGCUUAUAUGGUUGAAUCAUUUUGUUUGUGGCAUUAUAGAUUAGGUCAUUUGAAUUAUAGAAAAUUGAAUGACAUGUAUAAAUUAGAUUUAAUUCCUGUUUUUAAUAAUAAUAUUGAAAAAUGCAAUACCUGUAUGUUGACUAAAAUUACAAGAAAUCCUUUCCCUAAGGUUAAAAGGAAAACAAAAUUGCUUGAUUUGAUACAUAGUGAUUUAUGUGACUUGCAUAAUACUCCUACAUUAGGUGGAAAGAAAUAUUUUGUUACUUUUAUUGAUGAUUGUUCUAGAUAUUGUUAUGUAUAUUUAUUGCAUUCAAAAGAUUAAGCGCUUGAUAAAUUUAAAGUUUAUAAAUCUGAAGUUGAACUUCAGUGUGAAUCAUUUAUCAAGUGCUUAAGAUCGGAUAGAGGUGGAGAAUACUAUAAUCCAAGUUAUUUUGAACUCACUGGAAUUGUCCAUCAAGUUUCAGCCCCUUACACACCACAACAAAAUGGUGUAGCUGAAAGGAAAAAUAGAGUCUUGAUUGAAAUGGUAAAUUCAAUGUUAUCAUAUUCAGGUCUUGGAUAGGGUUUUUGGGGAGAAGCUGUUCUAACAGCUUGUCAUAUAUUGAAUAGAGUUCCUAAUAAGGAAACUAAAAUAACCCCCUAUGAACAAUGGAAGAAAAGGAAACCAAACCUUAAUUAUUUAAAGGUUUGGGGUUGUAGAGCUAUUGUAAAAGUUCCAACACCUAAACGUAAAAAGUUAGGUGAAAGAGGAAUUGAAUGCAUAUUUAUAGGUUAUGCACAUAAUAGCAAGGCAUAUAGGUUCAUAGUAAUUGAACCAAAUGAUUCAAUUUCAAUUAAUACGGUUAUUGAAUCAAGAGAUGCUAUUUUUGAUGAAAAUAGAUUUAAUUCUAUAUCAAGACAAUUACAACUACAACAAUUGAUUCAUUCUUCAAAUGAGAAUGAGAUUCCAUUGAAACAAAUUGAUAAUACUGAUGAAUCUUGUCAAGAAUUAAGAAGAAGUAAGAGGAUUAAAAAGGUCAAAGAUUUUGGACCAGAUUUCAUUAUGUUUCUUGUAUAAGGAAAAGGUGAAAGUAUAUGCAAUAAGAUACCUUAUUAUUAUAAUACCGAAUCUGAUCCUAUUACAUUUGAAGAAGCAGUGAAAUCUCAAGACUCUGCUUUUUGGAAAGAAGCAAUAAAUGAUGAAAUGGAUUCAAUAAUGGGAAAUCAAACUUGGAUCUUAGUUGAUCUUCCACCAGGUUCCAAACCAAUAGGUUGUAAAUGGAUCUUCAAAAAGAAAAUGAAGGUCGAUGGAACCAUUGAUAAAUUUAAAGCAAGGUUGGUAGCAAAAGGUUUUACACAAAGACAAGGUAUUGAUUACUUUGAUACCUAUGCUCCAGUAGCAAGAAUUGCUACAAUUAGACUAUUAAUAUCACUUACCUCUAUAUAUAAUUUGGUUGUUCACCAAAUGGAUGUUAAAACUGCAUUUUUAAAUGGUGAAUUGGAAGAGGAAGUGUACAUGGAGCAACCGGAAGGAUUUGUUGUUCCAGGACAAGAGCAUAAGGUAUGUAAGCUUGUUAAAUCUUUAUAUGGGCUUAAACAAGCACCAAAACAAUGGCACCAAAAGUUUGACAAGGUUGUUUUAGCUAAUGGCUAUAAAAUAAAUGAAUCCGAUAAGUGCAUAUAUAGUAAAUUUGAUAAUGGAAAGGGUGUUAUAAUUUGCUUAUAUGUAGAUGACAUGCUCAUUUUUGGCACGGAUUUGGAACAAAUAGAAAACACAAAGAAAUUCUUGUCAAACAACUUUGCUAUGAAGGAUAUGGGUGUAGCAGAUGUUAUUCUUGAGAUUAAAAUAACCCGAGAUGAAAGCACUAUAGCUUUAUCACAAUCACAUUACAUUGAAAAUGUGCUUAAAAAGUUUGAUCUUUUCAACUGUAUACCAGCAUCUACACCCAUGGAUCCUCAAUUAAAAUUAGUAUCUAAUGCUGGUAGGAAAAUUGAUCAAUUGAAAUAUGCAAGUCUAAUUGGUUGUCUUAUGUACAUAAUGACUUGUACAAGACCAGAUAUUGCAUAUGCUAUUGGAAAAUUGAGUAGAUACACAAGUAAUCCAAGUAGUUUGCAUUGGCAAGCUUUAAAUAGAGUACUUAGGUACUUAAAGAAAACUAUUAACUAUGGAUUGUGUUAUAAUGGAUAUCCUCCAGCUUUAGAAGGGUAUUCGGAUGCUAGUUGGAUUACAAGUUUGGAAGAUCAUGCAUCUACUAGUGGGUGGAUCUUCAUUCUUGGUGGAGGAGUCAUUUCUUGGGGUUCCAAGAAACAAACAUGUAUUACUGAUUCCACCAUGGCAGCAGAAUUUAUUGCAUUAGCUGCUGCAUCUAAAGAAGCAGAAUGGUUAAAAAAUUUACUUUAUGAUGUACCUUUAUGGCUUAAGCCAAUUUCACCUAUUUCUAUCCGUUGUGAUAGUGAGGCUACUCUAACAAAGGCAUAUAGCCAAGUAUAUAAUGGAAAGUCUAGACACAUUGGAUUAAGAAAUAGUUAUGUCCGACAAUUAAUCUCUGAUGGAGUGAUCACUAUUAAUUAUGUGAGGUCAAGUGAAAAUUUGGCAGAUCCUUUGACAAAAAGUCUUGCUAGAGAUGCAGUAAAAAGGACCUCAAAAGGGAUGGGACUCAAGCCUAUUAAUUAGAGUCACCCAUGAUGGAAACUCGACUCAACGCUUGGUAUAACGUCAAGUCUUGAGUUCAAUGAGACAAAGUACAUCAUUAGUAUGUGACUGUUAGCACUAUAAAUAAAUCCAUCCUAAGAUUAAAGUGCUAGGUACCCGUAAUGAUAAGGGAAGGAUGAGUAAUGUACUCUUAAUGGACCCAUAACAUAAAUAUGUUAGAGUGUUAUAAUUACGGGAACACUUUUGAUGGGAUCUACCUAUGUGAGUGGAAGUGUGGCCGCUUCUAGGAGCUUAAGGGCUUGGCUCUGACAGCACUCAUGAAAAGAGGACAUAGACACAUGGCUAUAAUAGUGUCCCUAGAUACUAUGCAUUGACUGAUGUUGAAAUCAUUGUGUGAGAUGUGUUCAGUUAAUCAAAUGGAAUAGUUGGUUCAAAGCUUAGUCUACCAUACAAUUUCGAUUAACUUUAACAUGUUUUCACUAAGUGAAGGUUCAAUCGUAAGACACCUUUAUUUAUGCAAAUUGAUUUCCAAGAAUAUCAAAAUCUAAAUAUUUUGAAAAUGGGGGGAGAUUGUUGGAAUAUUUCAAAUAUUUAUAGUAUCCCAAUAACUAUAAAUGAAUGGGUGUAAUUAAUCAAAAGAUAAAACUUUUGGUCAUUGGUCAAAAGUUAUAUCAUUUGAUUUUUUAAAAAAGAAUUAUAACUAUUCAAAAAAUAUUAUUUGAAUAGUUACAAAAUUAAAUGAAUAAUUAUUAUUAUUUAUUUAUUCAUAAAGACACCUAUUGAAAUAUGUCUCUAUGAAGAGACAUGAAAAUUCCUAUAAAUAGGAAUGGGAUUUCAUUUGGAAAUUAUAUCAACAAAUUCUAAUAUUAUUUCUUCUCUUCCUUCAUUUUCUAAUAUUAUUAGAUUAUUCUAUAAAGUAUUGCUGCAGAAAUCCUUUGUAGAAAUUGAGUUUUUGUUAUACAUUACUCAGUGCAUAGUGGACUAUUCUUGUCAGUGCAAAACGCAAAUAGUCAUUGGCUUCAUUGUAUCCUCGAGGUUAAUUUGCUUGGAACUCGUUUACACACUGAAGAUAAGUGGGGGCGAAUAUAACCUUAAAGAUAGUGGCUUGAUACACGCCUUGGAGCCUGUCCUAUUUCUUCUUUUUCUUUUCGAGUUCCGAUCGUGUGUUCGAGUUUUUUCCUUAUCGGAGUUUUG